UGCAAGUCGAACGGUGAAGCCCAGCUUGCUGGGUGGAUCAGUGGCGAACGGGUGAGUAACACGUGAGCAACCUGCCCCUGACUCUGGGAUAAGCGCUGGAAACGGCGUCUAAUACUGGAUACGAGUAGCGACCGCAUGGUCAGUUACUGGAAAGAUUUAUUGGUUGGGGAUGGGCUCGCGGCCUAUCAGCUUGUUGGUGAGGUAAUGGCUCACCAAGGCGUCGACGGGUAGCCGGCCUGAGAGGGUGACCGGCCACACUGGGACUGAGACACGGCCCAGACUCCUACGGGAGGCAGCAGUGGGGAAUAUUGCACAAUGGGCGCAAGCCUGAUGCAGCAACGCCGCGUGAGGGAUGACGGCCUUCGGGUUGUAAACCUCUUUUAGCAGGGAAUAAGCGAAAGUGACGGUUCCUGCAGAAAAAGCGCCGGCUAACUACGUGCCAGCAGCCGCGGUAAUACGUAGGGCGCACGCGUUAUCCGGAAUUAUUGGGCGUAAAGAGCUCGUAGGCGUUUUGUCGCGUCUGCUGUGAAAAUCCGGAGGCUCAAUCUCCGGCCUGCAGGUGGGGUACGGGGCAGGACUAGAGUGCGGUAGGGGGAGAAUUGGAAUUCCUGGUGUAGCGGUGGAAUGCGCAGAUAUCAGGAGGAACACCGAUGGCGAAGGCAGAUCUCUGGGCCGUAACUGACGCUGAGGAGCGAAAGGGUGGGGAGCAAACAGGCUUAGAUACCCUGGUAGUCCACCCCGUAAACGUUGGGAACUAGUUGUGGGGUCCAUUCCACGGAUUCCGUGACGCAGCUAACGCAUUAAGUUCCCCGCCUGGGGAGUACGGCCGCAAGGCUAAAACUCAAAGGAAUUGACGGGGACCCGCACAAGCGGCGGAGCAUGCGGAUUAAUUCGAUGCAACGCGAAGAACCUUACCAAGGCUUGACAUAUACGAGAACGGGCCAGAAAUGGUCAACUCUUUGGACACUCGUAAACAGGUGGUGCAUGGUUGUCGUCAGCUCGUGUCGUGAGAUGUUGGGUUAAGUCCCGCAACGAGCGCAACCCUCGUUCUAUGUUGCCAGCACGUAAUGGUGGGAACUCAUGGGAUACUGCCGGGGUCAACUCGGAGGAAGGUGGGGAUGACGUCAAAUCAUCAUGCCCCUUAUGUCUUGGGCUUCACGCAUGCUACAAUGGCCGGUACAAAGGGCUGCAAUACCGCGAGGUGGAGCGAAUCCCAAAAAGCCGGUCCCAGUUCGGAUUGAGGUCUGCAACUCGACCUCAUGAAGUCGGAGUCGCUAGUAAUCGCAGAUCAGCAACGCUGCGGUGAAUACGUUCCCGGGUCUUGUACACACCGCCCGUCAAGUCAUGAAAGUCGGUAACACCUGAAGCCGGUGGCCUAACCCUUGUGGAGGAGCCGUCGA
rnacentral:rRNA from 1 species